UAGAGUUUGAUCCUGGCUCAGAGCGAACGCUGGCGGCAGGCUUAACACAUGCAAGUCGAGCGCCGUAGCAAUACGGAGCGGCAGACGGGUGAGUAACGCGUGGGAACGUGCCUUCUGGUUCGGAAUAACCCAGGGAAACUUGGGCUAAUACCGAAUAAGCCCUUCGGGGGAAAGAUUUAUCGCCGGAAGAUCGGCCCGCGUAAGAUUAGCUAGUUGGUGAGGUAAUGGCUCACCAAGGCUACGAUCUUUAGCUGGUCUGAGAGGAUGAUCAGCCACACUGGGACUGAGACACGGCCCAGACUCCUACGGGAGGCAGCAGUGGGGAAUAUUGGACAAUGGGCGCAAGCCUGAUCCAGCCAUGCCGCGUGAGUGAUGAAGGCCUUAGGGUUGUAAAGCUCUUUUAGCGGGGACGAUAAUGACGGUACCCGCAGAAAAAGCCCCGGCCAACUUCGUGCCAGCAGCCCCGGUCAA
rnacentral:rRNA from 1 species